rnacentral:tRNA from 1 species
GGAGGUAUAGCUCAGUGGUAGAGCUCAUGCUUAGUACGCACAAGGUCCUGGGUUCAACCCCCAGUAUCUCCA